rnacentral:rRNA from 1 species
AUCCGACUAAGGAGUGUGUAACAACUCACCUGCCGAAGCGAGUGGCUCUGAAAAUGGAUGGCGCUAGAGUAUCGGGCCUAUCCCCCGCCUCCGAGACGACGACUUCGGUUUACGUCUCGAAGAGUAGGAAGGUCGCGGCGUAGAGCUCGGAAGGGUCGGGGCGUGAGCCCAUCCGGAGCCGGCGUCGGUGCAGAUCUUGGUGGUAGUAGCGGGUGCUCGAGCGGGAACCUAGAGAAUUGACGAGGGGAAGGGUUCCGUGUGAACAGCCUUUGCACAUGGGUGAGUCGGUCCUAAGCCAAAGGAGAACUCCUGAGCCGGUCACGACGGCAAUCGAAACGUAGCCGCGUACAAGCUCUGGCGAGAGGGAAUCCCGUAGCGAUUCUGGAACCUGGUCACAGGUCGCUCGAUCCGUCGUCUUCGGACUUCGGAAAGAGGCACGUCGACGUGCCUUGCGACCGAAAGGCCGCGCGCCGCAAGGCGACGAGACCUGGGGAAGCCGACCGUCGCUCGACAGGCAGAGUUUUCUGUUCUGGCUGACGCCCCACCGUUCCCACGAAUCGCUCCGAGCGGAGGCAGGGACACGGGCGCGUCGUAAACACGCCAGAGCCCCGUGGAUUCUGCGGGGUCCCUCGGGAGGCGGGCGGACCGUGAAAACACGGGCGAACGGCGCAAGACUCUCCCGUGCCAGUGCGUACCGAACUCCGCAUCAGGUCUCCAAGGUGAACAGCCUCUGGGUCUAGCCGAAUGUAGGUAAGGGAAGUCGGCAAGACGGAUCCGUAACUUCGGGAUAAGGAUUGGCUCAAGGGC